UGGCGAACGGGUGAGUAACACGUGGGUGAUCUGCCCUGCACUCUGGGAUAAGCCUGGGAAACUGGGUCUAAUACCGGAUAGGACCAUGCUUUAGUGUGUGUGGUGGAAAGUUUUUUCGGUGUAGGAUGAGCCCUCGGCCUAUCAGCUUGUUGGUGGGGUAAUGGCCUACCAAGGCGGCGACGGGUAGCCGGACUGAGAGGUUGGUCGGCCACAUUGGGACUGAGAUACGGCCCAG
rnacentral:rRNA from 1 species